GACCGUUCCGGUGGCCUAGUUGCUAGAGAGUCCGCCUCGGAAGCGGGAGGUCGCGUGUUCGAACCCCGGCUGAGUCA